CUCCUUUGACGUUAGCGGCGGACGGGUGAGUAACACGUGGGUAACCUACCUAUAAGACUGGGAUAACUUCGGGAAACCGGAGCUAAUACCGGAUAAUAUUUCGAACCGCAUGGUUCGAUAGUGAAAGAUGGUUUUGCUAUCACUUAUAGAUGGACCCGCGCCGUAUUAGCUAGUUGGUAAGGUAACGGCUUACCAAGGCGACGAUACGUAGCCGACCUGAGAGGGUGAUCGGCCACACUGGAACUGAGACGACGGUCCGGACUCCUACGGGAGGCAGCAGU
rnacentral:rRNA from 1 species